rnacentral:lncRNA from 1 species
GCAGAUUCGACACAAAACCCGGAAGGACCCCGCCGAAGGUUUUCUCCGGUUCGGGAGAGAGACGGAGUCCCGCUCUGUCACGCAGGCUGCCAGGCUGGCGUACAGUGGCGCAAUCUCAGCUCGCUGCAACCUCCACCUCCUGGGUUCAAGCGAUUUUCUUGCCUCUGCCUCCUGAGUAGCUGGGAUUACUGGCACACACCACCAUGCACAGUUCCUUGUUCAAAAUGCCAAGAACCUGGAUGACUCAUAGUCAAGACCCUCCACCAGUAACAUAUAUUGGCGAGCCAGCCAGGAGCUUGGAACCCUCGGUGGACAGUGCCUAAGCACAGAGGCAACCACAGGUUUCUAACAGGGCCACUCUCUGGUGAAACUGAAAGGUUUCUGUGUGAAAGUGCCUGACCACCACUGCCCAAUUCAGCGAAUGGGUCUCAUGAGAUCUGAUGGUUUUGAAAAUGGGAGUUGCCCUGCACAAGCUCUCCUUUUGCCUGCUGCCAUCCACAUAAGAUGUGAUUUGCUCUUCCUUGCCUUCCACCAUGAUUGUGAGGCCUUCCCAGCAUGUGGAAAUGGUCCAGCCUGCAAUAACUGAAGCCCCCAGACCUGGAACCUGAAGAUCCCAUCAGCCACUAAACCUGUGAACCUGUAGAAGACCUGAAGUACCUGUUUAAAAGGCAGCCAAAA